rnacentral:rRNA from 1 species
CAGUAGCCGCGGGAAAACGUAGGUGGCAAGCGUUGUCCGGAUUUAUUGGGCGUAAAGCGAGCGCAGGCGGUCAAUUAAGUCAGAUGUGAAAGCCCCCGGCUCAACCGGGGAGGGUCAUUGGAAACUGGUUGACUUGAGUGCAGAAGAGGAGAGUGGAAUUCCAUGUGUAGCGGUGAAAUGCGUAGAUAUAUGGAGGGACACCAGUGGCGAAGGCGACUCUCUGGUCUGUAACUGACGCUGAGGCUCGAAAGCGUGGGUAGCAAACAGGAUUAGAUACCCCGGUAGUCCCUGUCUCUUAUAC